GUUGCAGUUAAAGCUCGUAGUUGAAUUUUGGCCUUGGUUUGUGAGGUUCGGCCUUCACUGGUCGGUACCUUUACGAACCGGGCUCCACCUUCUGGGUUAGCCAGUUGUUACUUCGGUGCAGCUGGUGAACCAGAACUUUUACUUUGAAAAAAUUGGAGUGUUUAAAGCAGGCUUUCAAGCUUGAACAUAUUAGCAUGGAAUAAUGAAAUAGGACUUUGGCCUUAUUUCGUUGGUUUCUAAAGCCAAGGUAAUGAUGAAUAGGGAUAGUUGGGGACAUUAGUAUUCAAUUGUCAGAGGUGAAAUUCUUGGAUUUAUUGAAGACUAACUUCUGCGAAAGCAUUUGUCAAGGAUGUUUUCAUUAAUCAAGAACGAAAGUUAGGGGAUCGAAGACGAUCAGAUACCGUCGUAGUCUUAACCAUAAACUAUGCCGACUAAGGAUCGGAUGGUGUUAUAUUUAUAUUGACCCAUUCGGCAUUUCAGCGAAAGCCAAGUUUUUGGGUUCCGGGGGGAGUAUGGUCGCAAGGCUGAAACUUAAAGGAAUUGACGGAAGGGCACCACCAGGAGUGGAGCCUGCGGCUUAAUUUGACUCAACACGGGGAAACUCACCAGGUCCAGACAUAGUAAGGAUUGACAGAUUGAGAGCUCUUUCUUGAUUCUAUGGGGUGGUGGUGCAUGGCCGUUCUUAGUUCGUGGAGUGAUUUGUCUGGUUAAUUCCGAUAACGAACGAGACCUUACUCUGCUAAAUAGCCAGCAUGACUUUGGUCGUGUCCUUUUUGGCUUCUUAGAGAGACUAUCAAUGUUUAUUUGAUGGAGUUUGAGCAUAACAGUCUGUGAUGCCCUUAGAUGUCUGGGCGCACGCGCGCUACACUGAU
rnacentral:rRNA from 1 species